GGCGGCGUGCUUAACACAUGCAAGUCGAACGAUGAAGCCCUUCGGGGUGGAUUAGUGGCGAACGGGUGAGUAACACGUGGGCAAUCUGCCCUGCACUCUGGGACAAGCCCUGGAAACGGGGUCUAAUACCGGAUACGAACGGCGUUCCCGCAUUGGAUACGCGUUGAAAGCUCCGGCGGUGCAGGAUGAGCCCGCGGCCUAUCAGCUUGUUGGUGGGGUGAUGGCCUACCAAGGCGACGACGGGUAGCCGGCCUGAGAGGGCGACCGGCCACACUGGGACUGAGACACGGCCCAGACUCCUACGGGAGGCAGCAGUGGGGAAUAUUGCACAAUGGGCGGAAGCCUGAUGCAGCGACGCCGCGUGAGGGAUGACGGCCUUCGGGUUGUAAACCUCUUUCAGCAGGGAAGAAGCGCAAGUGACGGUACCUGCAGAAGAAGCGCCGGCUAACUACGUGCCAGCAGCCGCGGUAAUACGUAGGGCGCAAGCGUUGUCCGGAAUUAUUGGGCGUAAAGAGCUCGUAGGCGGCUUGUCGCGUCGGAUGUGAAAGCCCGGGGCUUAACUCCGGGUCUGCAUUCGAUACGGGCAGGCUAGAGUUCGGUAGGGGAGAUCGGAAUUCCUGGUGUAGCGGUGAAAUGCGCAGAUAUCAGGAGGAACACCGGUGGCGAAGGCGGAUCUCUGGGCCGAUACUGACGCUGAGGAGCGAAAGCGUGGGGAGCGAACAGGAUUAGAUACCCUGGUAGUCCACGCCGUAAACGUUGGGAACUAGGUGUGGGCGACAUUCCACGUCGUCCGUGCCGCAGCUAACGCAUUAAGUUCCCCGCCUGGGGAGUACGGCCGC
rnacentral:rRNA from 1 species